CUGCCAAGCAAGCGCACGCUCGCGCGCCGGCCGCGUGACCGCUGAGGGGCGGGUUGGGAAUUCUGAGGGCCUGGUCUAGGGGUGUCACUGACCAGGACUGGAGGAGGGGGCUCCCGGGCUGAAACGCGCCGCCGCCCCUCGACCUGAAACAUAAAAUUCGUCAGUGUGGCCCUUUCCGUGACCGCCUUGGCUCUGGACAGGGCAUCCGAGCCUCAGCUGGAGCGUCAUUUCUGCUAGAAAUGCUGAGUCGACUUCUGAGCCCCUGGGUAGAAGCAGGAGAGUCGCAGACAUGCUUAACUGAUUAAGAAAAAUAAUGAGGUCAUACUAAAUACCGUGCGAAGAUAAGGAUGUAAACUUGGAACUGACUUCCAGGCACGAUGUCAUUAUUUGAACUCGAAAAUCACACAGCUCAUGGGCCUUACCAUUCUACUAGAGGCAAGAGGCUGGAAGGAAGAGAGAAGCUUUUAAUAGUGUUUAAAAAGGAGUGGAGAGGAAAUAACUGCAACUACUAGCCUUGUUACCAAAAAAAAAAAAAAGACCUUGAAUUCAACUUAGCAAUGAAUGGAGUGCUCAUUUGAAGAAGGACUUUCACUGGAUUCUUGCAAGAUUAGUAACCGAUGCUCAAGCAAACACUCAUAUACUGGGAAUAAAGAAGCAGCAUUGUCAUAAUCAGCCAACAGAGAAGAGCUCACAGAUGCCUGACUUCCAGGGACCCUGUGCAGCUGCUUUGCCUGGAGAAAGCCAACAAGCCUGGCCUGUCAGUCACACAUCAGCAAUGAGUGGCUUUUGGAGUAGAGGAUCCAGAAAGUCCAUGUGUAACUGUAAACUGCACUAACCACAAUUUUUAGCUGUACAGAAAAGAUCUUGAAGGACAAGUACAUCAGAUGGUUAUGCCCGAGUCUUCUCUACCACAUCUAUACAGAGAUGGUAAUCGAAGUUAAGAACAUCCUCUUUUUUUUUUUUAUUUAAUUGUGGUAAAAUAUAUACAACAUAAAAUUUGCCUUUAUAACCAUUUUAAUGUAUAAAAUUUAGUGGCAUUAAUUAUACUCACAAUGUUGUGCAACGAUUACCACUACUUAGUUCCAAAACAUUUACAGCACCCCAAACAAAAGAUCUGCACCCAUUAAGCAAUAACUCCACAUCACCCAAUCCCCACUCCCUCACCACCACUCAUCUGCUUUCUGUUUCUAUGCAUUUGCCUCAUCUAGAUAUUUCAUAUAAGUGGGAUCAUACAAUAUUUGUCCUUUUGUGUCUGGCUUAUUUCAUUUAGCAUAAUGUUUUCAAGGUUCAUCCAUGCUGUAAACAUAUCUGAACUUCAUUUCUCUUUACAACUAAAUAAUAUUCCAUUGUAUGCAUAUACCACAUUUUGUUUAUCCAUUCAUCUCUUUGAUGGACUCUUGAGUUUUUUCCACCUUCUGACUGUGAAAUAGAGCAUCAUGUUUUGGUACAAAAAGCAAAGGCAUUGCUGAGACAUGAGGUGACUGCCAUGUCAUACCAUGGCUAUAGCCGCAUGUGAGGAUGGCUGAGGACCUUGAUCUCUGCCAGUUUUAAAUUUUAUCUAAGUUAUUGAACCAGAAACCCAUGGGAAAAAGGCAACAAUUGUAUUCAUUCUUUUACUGCAAAUAUUUAUUUAGGCCACAAACGAGAGUAAUUUAUCUGUAUGAGAAGUUUUGUGUUUCUAUCUUGGCUCAUUUUCUUUGAUUAAAGAGGCAAAAAAUGAGAAUAAAGUACUUUUUCAGCAAAAUCAAGUUGCACUUUUACGCCCAUAAUUUAAUUAACGUAAAAACUGCAUGAUUUAUUCUAUAUUACCCAGUAAAUAGCAUUUUUUAAACUCAUGAUGAAGUAUGAAUACAUUAACAGAAUGUAAGGAUAGUUCAAAGUCAGAAAUGAUAGAAAUGUAAUUGACCAUGCUAAUGGACUAAAGGAUAAAAAUUACAUUAUUUUCUCUUAUGUAUACAGAAAAUAAUGUUUCAGGCCAAUUGUGAACUUUCAAAAAAGGUGUUUAGAAAACUAAAAAUAUGGAAAAAUUUCCUUAACCUGAUAAGGCUAUCUACUAAAACACAGAAGCAAAUUUAAUAUUUAUUGAAGAAAUAUUAGAAGCAUUUUAUUUACAUUUAAGAACUAGACAAAAAUACCCUUUCUUACCCUUACUUUUUCAUGUGAUAUUGGAAGUCUUGGACAAUAAAAUAAAUUAAGAGAAAGAAGAAAUAUAGAGAUUGGAGGGAAGAGAGUCAAGAGAUUCAGUUGUCAUUAUUUACAGAUGAUAUGAACAGUCACGUAGAAACUCAUAGCAGUCUACAGAAAAAAUAUCUAGGAUUAUUAGAGUUCAAGAGUUGGAAUCGACUAGACGACAGCUGGUUAACUGGUUAAUAGAGUUCAACAAAGGGUCUGAAUACCUUGUUGAACUAUGUAUUAAACUAGGAAUUAGCCUAACAACAAUACAUAAAACAUCUUGGAAAAAUCUUUAAAAUUCUACUAAGGCAAUGCAUACAGAUCACCUUGGGGUCUUGUUCAAAAAGCAGAUGCUGAUUCAGUAGUUCUGAGCCAAAGCCUGAGUCUGCAUUUCAAAAAAACUUCCAAGUGAUAACCAUGCUGCUGGUACAUGGACCACACCUUGAGUCGCAAUGCACUGAAGCACUUAAAGAAUAAGUGAAGAGAUUAAGCAUGCUCAUGGUGGGGUGGACACCUUAUCAUAGUAAAGAUUCUGAUUCCCUCCAAACCAGAACUUCAAACUGGUUCAAUCCAGUUCCAAUCCCUGCUGAUUAUUUGCAUUUACACUCCAGAUAUACUGAAUCAGAAUCUACAUUUUAACAAGAUACGCAGGUAAUACUCAUGUAUAAGUUCCUAGGAACUUGUUAGAAAUGCAAAUUCUCAGCAGGAGUUCAAACCAGAAUGAAUAGGUUUGAAACCCUGCUCCAAGCUAACCUAUGAUUUUAUGUAAUUCCUAUCAAAUUCCUAAUAGGAUCUAGGGGAAAGGGAAGAUCUGUCAAAUUUACAUGAAAAAUUAAAGGACCAUGAAAACUAGGUCAACUUCCCAGGAAAAAUGAAGACCAAAUAGAGUGUGCAAGUGCACAAAACCAAAGUAAUUAAAAAAUAAAAACGAUUAAUUUGGUAGUGACACUGGAACAGACAAAUAAAACUACAGAACAGAAUAGAGUCCAGAAAGAGAUCCCCAGAUGUUGAUCUAUCAUAGCGGUAGCAUCAAAACUUAGUGGGGAAAAGAUGAUUUGUUUGGUAGACAAUGUGGAGAAAAUUGGCUCAUUAUAUAGAAAAGAUAAAGAGCCUUUGUGAUGCAGUGGUUAAAGCAUUCAGCUCCUAACCAGAAGGUCAGUGGUUCGAACUCACUAGCUGCUCCAGGGGAGAAAGAUGUGGCAGUCUGCUUCUGCAAAGAUUUCAGCCUAAGAAGCCCUGUGGGGUGGUUCUACCUGUCCUAAGGGGCCACUGUGAGUCAGAAUCAACUCGAUGGCCAACAACAACAAUAAAUACAGAAAAGAUAAAAAAUGAUAACUCUAGAUCAUAAACACACAGAAAGCAAAAGACCUGCAGUGGUCUGUUUGUGGUUAUAAUUAAUUUUGGGCUUCUGAUCCAGAGCCAGAAAGCAGAGAAAAGACAAACGCUUUCAAACAGGUCAGCUCAUGUGUCUCAGAGCAUAUGGGAUUUUCCAGUUAUCUCCUUUAGUAACAUUCUCUUGGCCUUGCAAUCCAUGGAAAUUCCUCCAAGCUUCUCACAAUGGGCCAGUCUUAGUGUAUGGUCCAAAUAUAUGGUAAUUGGGAGUUUUCAAGAUUUUUUGUGCAUUCACAGGUAUUUUAUUGUGAAGUUGAAAAAGUCCCAUUAGGAGCUAACAGAUGCAGAUUUAAUUCAACUGCGCUCAAAUUUAUACUGCUGAGUCUAACGUAUUAGCUGUUUUCCCCAACAUUUUGUCUUCCACAAAUCUGAUUUCUGUGUCCUUUUUGUUUUCAUUCAAGUUCAUAAUAAAAAUAUUUUAAUAAAUUCGAGUCAUGGACAAACUUCUCAGCUGAUAUGGACUUGUUGAUUUUAUCAGCAAUGGCUGGUGAGGCACUUCCUGAGUCUCUUUGUAUCCUUACUCUUUCUGUAGCUGAGGCUACUUGACUUCCAUCUAUCGUCUUGGCUUCCCCAUAUCUCUAGGAACAAUCCUAGGAAUUUGAAGGUCAUGAGCAAUGACUCUACAACUCAGAAUCGGGUAAUGUUUCCUCCUAAUAUAGAAUUGGCCUUGGUCCAAGGUCUAACAAUUGGGCCUCUGUCAUGUUCUCCAUUCUCAAAUUACUAUCUCAAUGAGCUACUUUUUACCCCUAUUAUCCUGUGACUGGAGCUCUACGUGGUAUUUGGUUUUUUGUUGUUGUUGUUUAUUUGUUUUUAACAUUUAAACUUGGGGUCCUUUUAUCCACUUCCUCUAAAUCCUUGUACAGGAAUUUUCCCCAAAAACUCCUGUGUAAUAAAUGGAAUCAAUUUUUCUGUGGUGACAACUCUUGCUUGCUUUGUAUGCUUUGUAUGCCCCACUAUUUGUAUUAUACACUUGCCAACCUCCUCCGUGCAAAUUGUUUGCCUGUAUCAUCACCUACUUCUUCUCUGUCACAGAGAAAAGAAUACCAUCACUUGCCAGUCUUGUCUUCCUCCAACAUCUUAUCUUUCUUUAACAUCUGUAUUUUCUACCCAAUAUUUUCCCACCUUGUUAACCAAACUACUUGUCUUAGUCAUCUAGUACUCCCAUAAGAGAAAUACCACAAGUGGAUUGCUUUA